GUGUCAGCAGCCGCGGUAAUACAGAGGGUGCUAACGUUGUUCGGAAUCACUGGGCAUAAAGCGCACGUAGGCGGCUUGGUAAGUGCGGUGUGAAAGCCCCCGGCCUAACCGGGGAACUGCAUCGCAGACUGCCAGGCUCGAGAGCGGGAGGGGAGACUGGAACUCCUGGUGGAGCGGUGAAAUGCGUAGAUAUCAGGAGGAACACCGGUGGUGAAAACGAGUCUCUGGUCCGCUUCUGACGCUCAGGUGCGAAAGCUAGGGGAGCAAACGGGAUUAGAUACCCCCGUAGUCC
rnacentral:rRNA from 1 species